CGUCUAUAUACGUAUAGCAUAUCAAUAAGCGGAGGAAAAGGAGUAUACCUACGCUUAGGAUGUUGAAGAUGUAGCACAUCAUACACGCAUGACACACUGCAUAUCAAUAAGCGGAGGAAAAGAAACUAACUAGGAUUCCCUUAGUAACGGCGAGUGAAGCGGGAAGAGCUCAAAUUUGAAAUCUUCAAGGUUCUACCUUGACGAAUUGUAGUUUAAAGAAGUGUUUUCUGUUGGAAUUUUGGUAAAAGUUCUUUGGAAAUAGGACAUCAUAAGAGGGUGAGAAUCCCGUAUUUGACCAUUAUUUCCAACUUUGUGAUACACUUUCAAAGAGUCGGAUUGUUUGGGAAUGCAGUCCAAAAUGGGUGGUAAAUUUCAUCUAAAGCUAAAUACUGGCAAGAGACCGAUAGCGAACAAGUACCGUGAGGGAAAGAUGAAAAGAACUUUGAAAAGAGAGUUAAACAGUACGUGAAAUUGUCAAAAGGGAAGCGUUUGACACCAGUGUUGUUUUCUCGAAAAUCAAUUAAAAAUGGCGGGAUGUUGUGUUGUAUUGACUUUAUCAGCUUUCUGCACUUUUUUCCUAUCUUUUUUAAUGCACUUUUCGUUUAACAAGUCAACAUCAAUUUCUUUUGUUGUAAAAGAGUCAUUGGAAGGUGGCUUUCUUUUCGGAGAAAGUGUUUAUAGCCUUUGACUUCUGCAGUCGGAGAGAUUGAGGUCUGCAGCGUAGAUCCUUCGGGGUUAGAUACAUUUGUGCUAAGCUAUAGCCUUUCAUAGACAACUUGUUGACUAUGAUCAGUCAUGUAGCUUACUCGCUUAUGCUAUUUUACCUACGCUUAGGAUGUUGACGAUCAGCUGAGCGCG
rnacentral:rRNA from 1 species